GACGAACGCUGGCGGCGUGCUUAACACAUGCAAGUCGAACGCUGAACCCGCUUCGGUGGGGGAUGAGUGGCGAACGGGUGAGUAACACGUGGGCAGCCUGCCCCCGGCUCUGGGAUAACUCCAAGAAAUUGGGGCUAAUACCGGAUGUGACCGCUGGCCGCAUGGUCUGGUGGUGGAAAGGGUUUCCGGCUGGGGAUGGGCCCGCGGCCUAUCAGCUUGUUGGUGGGGUAGUGGCCUACCAAGGCGACGACGGGUAGCCGGCCUGAGAGGGUGACCGGCCACACUGGGACUGAGACACGGCCCAGACUCCUACGGGAGGCAGCAGUGGGGAAUAUUGCGCAAUGGGCGGAAGCCUGACGCAGCGACGCCGCGUGGGGGAUGACGGCCUUCGGGUUGUAAACCUCUUUCAGCAGGGACGAAGCGCAAGUGACGGUACCUGCAGAAGAAGCACCGGCCAACUACGUG
rnacentral:rRNA from 1 species